CAAAAUCCCAAGUUUAAGAUUGGGGAUGGGGGGUUCCUUCCUUUUUUGGUACAAUGUUUCAUAGUUCCUUACCUCAUAUUUCCUUUAACUUUAUCAUAAUCCAUGAUUAUCUCUAAAUUGUUCCAUUGAGUCGAGUUAGUCAAUGUUGAAUUCUUAAUUCUAGCUAUAUUUUUUCAUUUUAAUGUCCACUUAAUGGGACAUUUUAUGUACACCAAUCUUGAAGAAUGGCUCUCAUAGUAUAUUUCAGACAGCCUCAUUUUUGGUAUCACAUUGCCUCAUUUUCGGUAUCUCGUUACGUUUGCUUUAUUUAUUACGAGAAAAGGAGAAUGUUUUUAUUCUGAAGAGAGUAUAACAAUGAACUUAUCAAAUUAAAAUACUUGAUACUUGCCCUUCCCAGGAACUAUUUGCAAACAUUUUGAAUAACUUUAUAAUAGCUUAUGAGAAGUUUGCCCUUAUAACCCGUGGUUCAUGUUAAGAAGAUAGAUAUUACAUUAGAGGAGACAAGAAUCCAGAAUGAUGAAUAACAUAAAGGGAGGUUUUUAAAAAGCAAAGGUUAGCUAGUUAGAGGAAAACCCAAGGUUUUUUACCUUCUUUUUUCUUCUCUCUGAUCACUCUAACAUUAUAUGGGAACGUUUUUAAACAGGGAAAAAGGCCUCUUUUCACAUAAUGAGGAGGAAAAAGCCCUAUGUUACAGUGCAAAAUUAACAAAGCCUUACUGUUUCCUUUCUAUUUAAAGAUUGCAUCCAUGGUGAAACGUGAAGAACUGCGGUAACCAUUAUCAGGGGUAUAGUAAAAUAGAAGAUAUGCUCUCUGCCCCCAAGAAACCACAAUCCAAUUGUCAAAAAAUGAAGAAAUGGCAGUGUGGACUUCACCAAAUGUGGUGGCAGGAAGCAAUAACAGUCAGGCGUGGAGCUGCUCCAGCUGAUGUCAUCUUCGUUCCCUCUACUGCACAUUUGCAAGCCGCAGCGGGGGGUGCGGGGCCCCAUGUUCAUCCCCAUUCCAGAGAUGGGAGAGCCACAGCUCCGUGCAAGGGGAUGGUGGGCAGGCUCCAGGGACAACCGGCUACCCAGCACUGGUAGGAACGUCCUCUGCAGGGACAGUAUGGGAUGAGAAGGGAACUGAAAAGUCAUUAAUAAGGUAAAAUGCCCAGCAUGGUGCCUGGAGCUUGUCAGCCACCAAAUUAUUAACAUCAUGUAAAAAGAUCCAAGUAGUGGGUGUUGCCCAUUAUAGACAGGGAGAGAAGCGGAGU
rnacentral:lncRNA from 1 species